AGGUGAAUGACCUUCAUCUGAAAUCUGUGCCCCAGCUGUGAGGGUGGUGUGUUGGGGAUGAAGAGAGAUAGAGAAAAAAAGGGGGCAUUAACUCAGGAGAGAUACCUCCCUGCCCCCAUUCAGCUGGGGGUGUGGGGGGGUGAUGGCAAUUCUAACCUACACCUCACAGUGGCUUCCUUUAGUGCUUAGAAUCCUCUAGACUCUUCCAGAGCUGCCUGCUUCUGGUCUUCAUAUCAAAUAAACUUGAUGAGAAUCAAGCCUGCAGGGGUUCCAGCACCACCCCCUUGUUCAGCCUCACCUUCUAUCUGAAAGACUCCUCCUCUGCCCAGGUCGUCUUUGUUACUUUGUUUGUCACCUCCUCCAGGAAGCCUUCCUUACCCAAGAUAGGUGGAGGGGUUACCUCUUCCUGGCCUCUAUCUUUGAAGUAUGGUCUUUUACCACACUGCCUCCCCACCCCCCACUUCCCUGAGAGCAGAGGCUGAAUUAGGGGUGUGGUUCAAGGCAACUUGGGGGUUUCUAGGACCCAAUGAUUCCAGACCUGACGUCUAGGUCCCGGUUUUCCAGGUGUUGGAUGAGUGAUUCUGGGAGCCCCCAAGCUCCAGCUGGAUCCCUGGCGAGGAGCUGGGGUCACUGACGCCUGUGUUGUCUGCUGAGCAGCGCAGAGUUGCGCUUGCUCGGGCCCCAGAGCUCACCCACUCGCUCACUGGCCACCGUUCCCACCGUUAGCAGAGCUGGGAGCGCGCCCAGGCGGAUGGGUUCCUAAUGAGAACAUAAUUACCCAGAUGGAGAGAGAGCCUCACCCUGCUCCUUAAUUGUUGCCUUAGUGGGGUGGUGGAGGAGGAGAGCGCUGGGCAGAGCGAGGGGGCUGGACGUUUCCACACGUUCUGGGUGGGGCCCUGGGACCCGUUCGACUCACCUGAGGAUGAAGACCCGGAGAUGUGGGCGCGCCCCGGAGAUCGACUCCUGGAGUUCCGUGCGACCUGAAACUAACCCUUCCCUGGAUCUGAACCUCAUUUUUCUCAACUCCCAAAUUCAAGGGGUGCCUAGAAGAUGUCUAGUUUCCUCCAGGAAGAACACAAAUUCCUUGUGGCCUGAUGAUACUUAUUUGUGCAUUCAUCUGGAGAUCUUAAUAAAAUGAAGAUUUUGAUUCUUUAAAUCUAGGUUGGGGCUUGAGAUUUUCCAAUUCUAAUAAGCUUUCUGUUUAUUUUUUCAUUUUUUUAAAGUUUUAUUGCAGUAAAGUUGACUUACAAUGUUGUGAUAAUUUCUGCUGUCCAACAAAGUGACUCCGUUCUGUAUGUACACACAUCCAUUCCUCUUUAGAACUGAAUUUAAAAGAAUUUUUCAAGUGUAACAGUCUUUGCAAAAUUCUACAUGGUGAACUCACUACAGACGACACUUGAGUAGCAAUGGUAUAAGACCACAUAUGUCCCACAGC
rnacentral:lncRNA from 1 species